rnacentral:piRNA from 1 species
UGGUUCAGAAAGGUGAGACAACUCAAAGU